rnacentral:misc_RNA from 1 species
UCCGGUUUGGCACCGGCGGUCUCCGAUGAGUCCCCGGCAUUACCCGCUGGCAACAUCGGACAGGGGUUGCGCUCGUUGCGCCACUUAAGGCAACACCUCACGGCACGAGCUGACGACAGCCAUGCAGCACCUGUACGGGCUCCCGAAGGAGGACCGGCUUUCACCGGCUUCACCCCGCAUGUCAAGCCCUGGUAAGGUGGGGAUGACGUCGGAGGAAUUCCA